GGCCAGACUCCUACGGGAGGCAGCAGUGGGGAAUAUUGCACAAUGGGGGAAACCCUGAUGCAGCGACGCCGCGUGAGUGAAGAAGUCUUUCGGUAUGUAAAGCUCUAUCAGCAGGGAAGAAAUAGCGACCUUUGGGUCGCCAGACGGUACCUGAUUAAGGAGCCCCGGCUAACUACGUGCCAGCAGCCGCGGUAAUACGUAGGGGGCAAGCGUUAUCCGGAAUUACUGGGUGUAAAGGGAGCGUAGACGGUGAUGUAAGUCUGGAGUGAAAGGCGGGGGCCCAACCCCCGGACUGCUCUGGAAACUAUGUGACUGGAGUGCAGGAGAGGUGAGCGGAAUUCCUAGUGUAGCGGUGAAAUGCGUAGAUAUUAGGAGGAACACCAGUGGCGAAGGCGGCUCACUGGACUGUAACUGACGUUGAGGCUCGAAAGCGUGGGGAGCAAACAGGAUUAGAUACCCCAGUA
rnacentral:rRNA from 1 species